UCUUUUUAUUGACUCUCCCAUUUUUCAUCCCCUCUCUGUACAAAACAAGGAGACAGAGAGAGAGAGAGAGAGAAGAACGUCCGGAAAAGGUGAACCUGGACUUGCUAGAUUGCUAUGGUUGGGGGGUGAAGUCACUGGAGGCAGCGGUUCAUCGAUCUCUUCCUGGAGAAUUUUGUUGUGAAAUUAGCACAAACACAUGAAUCGAUCGAUAAACCUCUGCAUCCAGCGCUCACCCUCUCCCUUUUUUCUCUCUGUCUGUUUUCUGUUUGGUUUCCGAGAAAUUGUUACAGAAAAUAAUCUAUUUUAUGUUUUUCCAUAUUCCCUGGGCUGAAAUUUUGCGGCGCUUUCUUUGACUAUUGGUUAUUAUUAUUAUUUGAUACUCUAAUUGAAGCUCGUUGCAGAAAAGCAAAUGCGCCCCCGUCCAGCUAUGGACUUGUUCCGGUAGCAUUCUUUUUCCUAUUAUCCAUUAAUUUCUCACACGUCUCUACUACUGCUAUAAUUUUGGGUGUUGAAUUUGAGCUUGGUAGUGCCUUUAGUCUUAGAUUAAGCUUUAUAGGAGUUUUUAUAUGUGCUAAUUUUUUCUUUGUUGGUUUCCUAUUUCAAUUAUCUUAAGUAUCAUCUGUUGUAUGAUGUGUUAUUGAGUGAAGAUUUGAUGAUUUAAUCUAACAGUUAUGGUUAUUAAGCUUGUUCUUGUGUGAGGUUGAGCUUGUAUUAGAUGGAUCCUUUUCAGUAAUGAGUGAAAUUGUGAAUUUUGUGCUUUAUUGAUCACAAUUUGUUCAAGUUUUUGCUCACACAAACUUUGUCAAUUAUAUAAUUUUUGGGCCAAAGAAUUCUAAUUGUUUUCUGCGUAGUCAUACUCUGCUGUUAGUUUUGUGAAUCUGCAAAUUGUUAUGAUGGUUCAUAAUGCUUUUUAGGACCCAUAUUCAUUAACUUAUGCUGUCGGACUAGCAUACGGGGCAUGCAGCAUGUUCAUUGCCUUUUUCAUUUUCUUCAUUCAUGCUUUAUUUGUUUCUAUGAAUAAGUUUUAGCAUAUUUGUUCCACUCGUAUGACAUUAACUCUCCAUGUUCUGUUAGUGUCCAUGAUUGAAGACCGUGACUAUUAGCUUUCUGCUUAAGUUUCGAGAACCUUGACUUGACUUUCUUUUACUUUGAUGUGUGCUUCAUUUUUAUUCCCAGUGUUGAUUAUUUCAAAUUGCUGAUCUUCUUUCAAUAUCAAUCUUCUAGUCUCUUGCCUGAUGCAGUUGCAUGAGAAGAAUUUAUUGGAGUUUUUUUAUAGAGCUAGUUCUUAGUUAUAUAUAUAUAUAUAUAUAUAUAUAUAUAUAUAUUAUAUGAAGUUCCUAGUUUAUUAUAUUAUGAUGGAGAUAAUGAUUCCUUUUCCGUAGUUUAAUUUGCCAAGAUUCAUUAUCAUAUUACUUCCUUGCUGUUGAGUUUGCUUGUAUUUUAGGUUUGGUGUCUCUGAAAAUAAUGGACAUGGUCUUUUUGUCCCAAUUAUAUCUUGAUUUUUGCUUGGAAAAAACUAUCUUAGCAUUUCUGAAUUCAAUUUUUCUCUUUUGAUGAUUGAAAAUUAGUCUGAUCCUUGACAUAUACGUUUCUGGCUAACUCCAGCUCUUUAAACUUGUGUAAUUAUCAAAUUGAGAUUCAAAUCGAGAACAUAAAUUUUCAUUCUGUAUAUUAGGAAUCAAAGUGAAUUAAGAUUCGAUAAAUAUUCUCAAAAUUGAUUAAAAAUAUUCUGUGUUUUAUAAAAGCAAAAGAAAAAUGUAAUAAUAUAUUUUUAUGAAUAUAGAAUUAUUGUGCUUUAUAGUUUAUGGCGUAAAUUAUGAACUCAUGAAUUGUAGACAAGAUAUUAAAUGUGAUUUGCUGAAACUCAUUUUGACUUAAUCAAGUAAUUAAAUAAAAAAAGGGAGAGAUUAAAAGGUGAAUAUAUUGAUAUAAAAAAUCAUACUUUGAUAACUUAGUUAAGGAAGUGAAUUACCGAGAGAGGGAGAAAGAGAGAAAUGGCUAGUGGAAGUGAAAUAGUUAAAGAGAAAAUUUUGUAUGCCUUUUCAAGUACAAAUGGAGUGAAUUGUCAAACUUUGAAGCUAUUGAAUCUAAACACUCUUUAAAGAAAUAAUCUAUCAAAUCGGUCAAUUUGUGUCGGUUUUACUUGAUUUAUUAUCGAUAUUUUUCAAUUCGGUCAUGAGUCGAGUGUGUUUGUAAUUCACCUCGUAACAUUCAAAUUGCUGUGAUGGGGAAUCAAAUUGAGAACUUUUACAUUAUUGAACAGUGAAAAGUCUCAUCUCGUUUUUAACCAGAUCAUUUUUUUGGGUGGGAUUAUAUAAAUGUGAAGGUAACCAUUGUCCAAAAAGCACACUACAAGGAGCUCUGCAAUUUUAUGAGUAUGGAACACUUUUUUUUUUCCCAGAAAAUAGGAAGAAACUGUCUGCUUGUUUUUGUAGACAUGGAGGUAAUAGGAAUUUUUUUUUUUUUUUGCUCCUUUUUCUUUUCCGAAGUCAUAGGAGUUAAUUGGCUGCCAAUUAUGUGUCAUUUUCUUCACCAAGUGGUCAAAAAGUAGUUUCCUUGUUUCUUUCUUGGUAAAAAAGAAAAGCUAUAUUUGGAGGAAGUUUCCAAGCGGGAGACAUACCAUCGUCAUAAAUACUCCAUGAAAGUGAAGGGAAAAUAUAAUUAUGGUGUAUCAGCUUAUUGGAGAAUCAGAUAGGUUGAGGAUGUGUACUAAUGGAAUGUGGAAUUGGUAAUCUUGUAUCAUGUUCCUUGUGCCAGCCAAACUAUUGUGUAAAUCAACUAGAAUUCUCUAGUCUACCAUGUGGACCAAGCAAAUUUAGAGAAAGUGUUAUUCCUGGGACAAGACUACAACUCAGAAAGAGAGAUUCCUGAGAAAGAAGCUGAGGAUAUUCUUCAUUUAUUUUUAUAUUUUUUCCUUUUUCUAAUACUUGGUCUACAAUUGCUUUCUUGCUGAAUUUAUUAUUCCCAAUUUACUUUACUGAACUUAUUAUUCCCAAGUUUGCUUUUAAUGGGAAAGCUUAAAGUUGAUCCUUUCGUC